AUGAACGCUGGCGGCGUGCCUCAUACAUGCAAGUCGAGCGAACAGACGAGGAGCUUGCUCCUCUGACGUUAGCGGCGAACGGGUGAGUAACACGUGGAUAACCUACCUAUAAGACUGGGAUAACUUCGGGAAACCGGAGCUAAUACCGGAUAAUAUAUUGAACCGCAUGGUUCAAUAGUGAAAGACGGUUUUGCUGUCACUUAUAGAUGGAUCCGCGCCGCAUUAGCUAGUUGGUAAGGUAACGGCUUACCAAGGCAACGAUGCGUAGCCGACCUGAGAGGGUGAUCGGCCACACUGGAACUGAGACACGGUCCAGACUCCUACGGGAGGCAGCAGUAGGGAAUCUUCCGCAAUGGGCGAAAGCCUGACGGAGCAACGCCGCGUGAGUGAUGAAGGUCUUCGGAUCGUAAAACUCUGUUAUUAGGGAAGAACAAAUGUGUAAGUAACUAUGCACGUCUUGACGGUACCUAAUCAGAAAGCCACGGCUAACUACGUG
rnacentral:rRNA from 1 species